UACGUAGGGGGCAAGCGUUGUCCGGAAUUAUUGGGCGUAAAGCGCGUGUAGGCGGCUCGGUAAGUCUGCUGUGAAAGUCCAAGGCUCAACCUUGGAAAGCCGGUGGAUACUGUCGAGCUCGAGUCCGGAAGAGGCGAGUGGAAUUCCUGGUGUAGCGGUGAAAUGCGCAGAUAUCGGGAGGAACACCAAUGGCGAAGGCAGCUCGCUGGGACGGUACUGACGCUGAGACGCGAAAGCGUGGGGAGCAAACAGG
rnacentral:rRNA from 1 species